UCGUAGAGCCCGCUGGAAUUGAAGUGAAUGUGGAUGUCCAGCCCGCCCGGCGUGACGAUCUUCCCCUCGGCGGGGUAGACGUCCGUCGACGCGCCGAUCACCAUGUCGACGUCGUCCAUCGUAUCGGGGUUGCCGGCGUUGCCGAUACCGGCGAUCCGGCCGUCCCGGACGCCGAUGUCCGCCGCGACGACGCCGAGGACGGGAUCGAGGAUCGUGGCGUUCGUGAUGACCCAGUCGAGCGCGCCCUCGGCCUGCGUGACGCCCGGGGCCAUCCCCAUCCCAUCACGG
rnacentral:sRNA from 1 species